GGCAGUUUUCAUCUUGCUGUCCAGUUAAGUAAGUUGCUAUGCCACUUGAAGACAUUCUCAUUUGGAUAUUGGUCCUUGAUUUUGGAUGGAUAACCAACAAGAUUGUAUGAGAAGCAUCAACGGGUAUAUCAUUGGCUGUCCAACAGCCAAAGGUUCAAAUUGUGGAUACACACAGUAACCACUAACCAGUACUCCAUCCAGUGGCGGAAAAAUUUAAUAACGGGUGCUCUUUUGUGGCCCAUCAACAUCUAGCAAUGAUCCCUUUUCCUAGUUUGGACUUCUUUACGC
rnacentral:misc_RNA from 1 species